rnacentral:rRNA from 1 species
AUUGAACGCUGGCGGCAGGCCUAACACAUGCAAGUCGAGCGGUAGAGAGGUGCUUGCAUCUCUUGAGAGCGGCGGACGGGUGAGUAAUGCCUAGGAAUCUGCCUAGUGGUGGGGGAUAACGUUCGGAAACGGACGCUAAUACCGCAUACGUCCUACGGGAGAAAGCGGGGGAUCUUCGGACCUCGCGCCAUUAGAUGAGCCUAGGUCGGAUUAGCUAGUUGGUGAGGUAAUGGCUCACCAAGGCGACGAUCCGUAACUGGUCUGAGAGGAUGAUCAGCCACACUGGGACUGAGACACGGCCCAGACUCCUACGGGAGGCAGCAGUGGGAAUAUUGGACAAUGGGCGAAAGCCUGAUCCAGCAAUGCCGCGUGAGUGAUGAAGG